rnacentral:tRNA from 1 species
GAUUCUGGGGUGUGACACGUAGGAUUGCAAAUCCUGAGAAGCAGAAUAAGCCUCUGCCGGAAUUU